UCAAAUGCCAUCCUACAGCCACCAUGCC
rnacentral:piRNA from 1 species